CUCAAAGUGGCUGCACCAUUUUACAUUCCUAAGAAAUGUUAAGAUUGUAUUUUACUAUUUUUUCCAAAUAUAGUUUAAUACAAACAACUACAUAGACCACUUAUAUUGUCUUAGUAUCAUUUUAUGGAUGCAUUCUUGGGGUUAGUCUGUUGUAAUCAAAUAGACAAAUACCUCCCAUGGUCACCCCCAAAAUAAUAAAAAUAGGGAACUACUAAAUAGACAUUUGUUUUCUUCUAAAAUAUUUAACGGUGAAAUGCAAAAGAGUUGAAAGAGAGUUUUAUGGGAACCUACACUCAUCUUCCACUUGGAAACACAACAUGAAAUGAGUAAUUAUUAGCCUUAAGUUUUCAAUGUUAUGCUGCUGCUUUAUUCACUUUUUCUUUGGUUUGGAUAAAAGGAUAAUAUGAUGAGAUUCAUGGGAAAAAAUUGAAAAAUAGUAGCUUUUAGAAACAAAUGUAAGCAGUACAUAGUGGAUGUUUGUAAUUUUACUAUAGCUUUUUCUAAGCUUUGUAUUUAUGGCCUUUCAAAAUGAGAAGUGGAAAAAAACCCUACCCAAAUCUGUAAAUAAAUUCCUAAGAUUUUAUGAAUUAAUCUUAAAAUAUUAUUUGAAUAUUUGAAUAAGAAUCUUAUUUCUUAAAGUAACAUUUCUUCAGUGCAAUUUAUGUUGAUGCCCUCCUUUUUACUGUUCGAAGAAAGAAAAAUUUACACAUGUUAAUACCAACUUAGCAUACAAGGUUCAAUCACACCAGUUAAUAAAUAAAGUAAAUGGGAGGAACAUUAUUGUCCUCCCUCUCUUGCUAUAUUCUGAUUGUACUAUUCUAUUUUAUGGAAGUAGUAUUCAUAUUUCACACUAAGAAUUUUUUAUACAGAAAUUGUCUUACACCAUGAAUGCACGUUUUAUUGCUGAAUGCAAUUUGGUGUGUGGGGGGUACCAGACAUUGAACCCAGGGGCACUUAACCACUGAACCACAUUCCCAGCUUGUUGUUGUUAUUUUUUUAUUUUUUAUUUUGACACAGGGCCUUGAUAAGCUGCUUAGGACCUUGCUUAAUUGCUGAGGCUGGGUUUGAACUUGUGAUCCUCCUGCCUCAGCUUCCCAAGCUGGUGGAAUUUCAGGCAUGUGCCACUGUAACUGGCUGAAUGAAUUUUAAAUAACAAAAAAUCUGAUAUUUUUGCAUGUGGUUGUUGCUGAGCAAUUUUAAAAUUAUAGUACUUACAGUAGUUGCUUCGUGGCAGUUGUCACACCAAAUCACAGGGAAAUCUCUCUUCAAGGCCAAAACACAUUUUGCAUAAAUCAUAGCACCUAUACGUCUGUAUUCUGUAAGAAAUAUAUAUGAUAGAGUUUGAACAGAGUGAUGACAGAUAGAAAGAGGAAUGUUUUUCUUCUUUUCUUCCCUGUGAGCACAUAACAGUCUACCCAAGGAUGACAGUGGCUGACAUUUUGAACUAGUAUGGAAAUUUUGGUUACAUAGAUAGUGCUAAUGAUGUAUCUAGGAUUUGGCUAAAUAAGCAUAUACAGACACUCCUUUCUGAGGCAUACAAUAAACUACUAACUUUAAGAUAACUGAAAUUGAGCUCAACUAUGGAAAUAGUGGUUAAUGUAGUAUGCAGAAUCUGUGCUUUCCCUCUCUUCAUUACUCUAUGUAUGUGGACCUCUGUGCAUUGCUGGAAUAUUUCACUGAAUAAUUGGUUAUCUGGAAUAGCUCCUUUUAAUUUAUUUAUUAUAUGUUCUUUUUAGAUCAAUAGCUCC
rnacentral:lncRNA from 1 species